GACUGAGUGGCGGACGGGUGAGUAACGCGUGGGCAACCUGCCUUUCACAGAGGGAUAGCCAAAGGAAACUUUGAUUAAAACCUCAUAAAGCCGAAAUGUUGCAUAGCAAGACGGCCAAAGAUUUAUCGGUGAAAGAUGGGCCCGCGUCUGAUUAGUUAGUUGGUGGGGUAACGGCUCACCAAGGCGACGAUCAGUAGCCGACCUGAGAGGGUGAUCGGCCACAUUGGAACUGAGACACGGUCCAAACUCC
rnacentral:rRNA from 1 species